rnacentral:rRNA from 1 species
UACGAAGGUCCCAAGCGUUAUCCGGAUUUAUUGGGCUUAAAGGGUGCGUAGGCGGCUUAUUAAGUCAGUGGUGAAAGCUCCAUGCUUAACGUGGAAAUUGCCAUUGAUACUGAUGAGCUUGAGUAUAUUUGAAGUGGGCGGAAUGUGUCGUGUAGCGGUGAAAUGCUUAGAUAUGACACAGAACACCGAUUGCGUAGGCAGCUCACUAAACUAUAACUGACGCUGAGGCACGAAAGCAUGGGGAUCAAACAGG